CCUACGGGUGGCAGCAGUGAGGAAUAUUGGUCAAUGGACGAGAGUCUGAACCAGCCAAGUAGCGUGAAGGAUGACUGCCCUAUGGGUUGUAAACUUCUUUUAUAUGGGAAUAAAGUUCCUUAUGUAUACCGUUUUGUAUGUACCUUAUGAAUAAGGAUCGGCUAACUCCGUGCCAGCAGCCGCGGUAAUACGGAGGAUCCGAGCGUUAUCCGGAUUUAUUGGGUUUAAAGGGAGCGUAGGCGGACGGUUAAGUCAGUUGUGAAAGUUUGCGGCUCAACCGUAAAAUUGCAAUUGAUACUGGGUGUCUUGAGUGCAGUAGAGGUAGGCGGAAUUCGUGGUGUAGCGGUGAAAUGCUUAGAUAUCACGAAGAACUCCGAUUGCGAAGGCAGCUGACUGAACUGUAACUGACGCUGAUGCUCGAAAGUGUGGGUAUCAAACAGGAUUAGAUACCCGGGUAGUC
rnacentral:rRNA from 1 species